ACGAACGCUGGCGGCGUGCUUAACACAUGCCAGUCGAACGGAAAGGCCCUGCUUUUGUGGGGUUCUCGAGUGGCGAACGGGUGAGUAACACGUGAGUAACCUGCCCUUGACUUUGGGAUAACUUCAGGAAACUGGGGCUAAUACCGGAUAGGAGCUCCUGCUGCCUGGUGGGGGUUGGAAAGUUUCGGCGGUUGGGGAUGGACUCGCGGCUUAUCAGCUUGUUGGUGGGGUAGUGGCUUACCAAGGCUUUGACGGGUAGCCGGCCUGAGAGGGUGACCGGCCACAUUGGGACUGAGAUACGGCCCAGACUCCUACGGGAGGCAGCAGUGGGGAAUAUUGCACAAUGGGCGGAAGCCUGAUGCAGCAACGCCGCGUGCGGGAUGACGGCCUUCGGGUUGUAAACCGCUUUCGCCUGUGACGAAGCGUGAGUGACGGUAAUGGGUAAAGAAGCACCGGCUAACUACGUG
rnacentral:rRNA from 1 species